UUCUGGCUCAGGAUUAACGCUGGCGGCGUGCCUAAUACAUGCAAGUCGAAUGGUAGCAAUACCAUGGCGAACGGGUGAGUAACACGUAGGUAACCUGUCUUUAAGACGAGGAUAACCGUUGGAAACGACGGAUAAUACUCGAUAGGUGAUUUUUAGGGCAUCCUAGGAUCAUUAAAGAUUUAUCACUUAGAGAGGGGCCUGCGGCGCAUUAGCUAGAUGGCGGGGUAAUAGCCCACCAUGGCGAUGAUGCGUAGCCGGACUGAGAGGUUGAACGGCCACAAUGGAACUGAGAACGGUCCAUACUCCUACGGGAGGCAGCAGUAGGGAAUUUUCGGCAAUGGGCGAAAGCCCUGACCGAGCAACGCCGCGUGAACGAAGAAGUAUUUCGGUAUGUAAAGUUCUUUUAUUGGGGAAGAAAAAUAUCCAAAUUGACGGUACCCAAUGAAUAAGCUCCGGCUAACUACGUGCCAGCCGCCGC
rnacentral:rRNA from 1 species